GCCAAGCAACAGCAUGCAAAUUUCAGUGGACUCCAGACACAAACACUCAAUGACACUCCAACAAUUGGGGAUAUAAAAUCAGAGCAUCUCACACAGGAAAGAACAGCAUCCUCUCCCUCCAGAGAAGAAGCGCUCAUCAUCACUUGCAGGAAAUUCCUGCUUUAUCCCUACCCCUGGGGUGUCAGGAUAGAACCCUCUGGACAGGGACCGCGUCUUCCUGCAGCCGGUUGCUGUCAACUCCCUCCCUGCACCUCUUGCUCUUUGUCACUGACUGUUUGUCAAAAGGUACAGGCUAAUAGGAUCAUCCCAUUGCAUGCAGAUC
rnacentral:lncRNA from 1 species